AGCAGAGUGACGCAGUGAAAGCGUGCUGGGCCCAUAACCCAGAGGUCCGCAGAUCGAAACCAUGCUCUGCUA
rnacentral:tRNA from 1 species